AGGGUUCGAUUAUGGCUCAGAACGUACGCUGGCGGCACGCCUAACACAUGCAAGUCGAACGAAGUAGCAAUACUUAGUGGCAGACGGGUGAGUAACAUGUAGGUAUCUGCCCUUUGGCCUGGAAUAACACGAGGAAACUUAUGCUAAUACCGGAUAAGUCUUUACGGAGAAAGCUUUAUGCACCAUUGGAUGAGCCUGCAUUUGAUUAGUCUGUUGGUGGGGUAAUGGCCUACCAAGACUGUGAUCAAUAGCUGAUUUGAGAGGAUGAUCAGCCACAUUGGGACUGAGACACGGCCCAAACUCCUACGGGAGGCAGCAGUGGAGAAUCUUGCACAAUGGAGGAAGCUCUGAUGCAGCGAUGCCGCGUGAGUGAAGAAGGCCCUUGGGUUGUAAAGCUCUUUCGUCGGGGAAGAAAAUGACUGUACCCGAAUAAGAAGGUCCGGCUAACUUCGUGCCAGCAGCCGCGGUAAUACGAAGGGACCUAGCGUAGUUCGGAAUUACUGGGCUUAAAGAGUUCGUAGGUGGUUGAAAAAGUUGGUGGUGAAAUCCCAGAGCUUAACUCUGGAACUGCCAUCAAAACUUUUCAGCUAGAGUAUGAUAGAGGAAAGCAGAAUUUCUAGUGUAGAGGUGAAAUUCGUAGAUAUUAGAAAGAAUACCAAUUGCGAAGGCAGCUUUCUGGAUCAUUACUGACACUGAGGAACGAAAGCAUGGGUAGCGAAGAGGAUUAGAUACCCUCGUAGUCCAUGCCGUAAACGAUGUGUGUUAGACGUUGGAAAUUUAUUUUCAGUGUCGCAGCGAAAGCGAUAAACACACCGCCUGGGGAGUACGACCGCAAGGUUAAAACUCAAAUGAAUUGACGGGGACCCGCACAAGUAGUGGAGCAUGUGGUUUAAUUCGAAGAUACGCGCGGAACCUUACUAACACUUGACAUGUUCGUCGCGACUUUAAGAGAUUAAAGUUUUCGGUUCGGCCGGACGAAACACAGGUGCUGCAUGGCUGUCGUCAGCUCGUGUCGUGAGAUGUUGGGUUAAGUCCCGCAACGAGCGCAACCCUCACUUUUAGUUGCCAUCAUUAAGUUGGGCACUCUGAAAGAGCUGCCAGUGAUAAGCUGGAGGAAGGUGGGGAUGACGUCAAGUCCUCAUGGCCCUUACGUGUUGGGCUACACACGUGCUACAAUGGUAUCUACAACAGGAAGCAAGACGGCGACGUCAAGCAAAUCCUUAAAAGAUACCUCAGUUCGGAUUGCACUCUGCAACUCGAGUGCAUGAAGCUGGAAUUACUAGUAAUCGUGGAUCAGCGUGCCACGGUGAAUGCGUUCCCGGGUCUUGUACACACCGCCCGUCACACCAUGGGAGUUGGUUCUACCUUAAGGCAAGGUUUAAAACCCUUGACCACGGUAUAGUCAGCGACUGGGGUGAAGUCGUAACAAGGUAACCAAGGG
rnacentral:rRNA from 1 species